GACGAACGCUGGCGGCGUGCUUAACACAUGCAAGUCGAACGAAGUGGCGAACGGGUGAGUAACGCGUAAUCAACCUGCCCUUCAGAGGGGGACAACAGUUGGAAACGACUGCUAAUACCGCAUACUGAAGGAGGGGAUUGCGUCUGAUUGGCUGGGUGGGGGGGUAACGGCCCACCAAGGCGAUGAUCAGUAGGCGGUCUGGGGGGAAGAACGGCCAAAAUGGGAAUUGGAAACGGGCCAGACUCCUACGGGAGGCAGCAGUGGGGAAUUUUCCGCAAUGGACGAAAGUCUGACGGAGCAACGCCGCGUGGGUGAUGACGGCCUUCGGGUUGUAAAGCUCUGUUAAGCGGGACGCGGUACCGGAAUAGAAAGCCACGGCUAACUACGUGCCAGCAGCCGCGGUAAUUC
rnacentral:rRNA from 1 species